GCUGUGAUAGCUCAGUCGAUAGAGCAUGAGACUCUUAAUCACAAUGUCAUGGAUUCGACCCCCCCCCCAUCUAUUUCC